GAUGAACGCUGGCGGCGUGCCUAAUACAUGCAAGUCGAGCGAACAGAUGAGGAGCUUGCUCCUCUGACGUUAGCGGCGGACGGGUGAGUAACACGUGGAUAACCUACCUAUAAGACUGGGAUAACUUCUGGAAACCGGAGCUAAUACCGGAUAAUAUAUUGAACCGCAUGGUUCAAUAGUGAAAGACGAUUUUGCUGUCACUUAUAUAUGGAUCCGCGCCGCAUUAGCUAGUUGGUAAGGUAACGGCUUACCAAGGCAACGAUGCGUAGCCGACCUGGGAGAGUGAUCGGCCACACUGGAACUGAAACACGGUCCAGACUCCUACGGGAGGCAGCAGUAGGGAAUCUUCCGCAAUGGGCGAAAGCCUGACGGAGCAACGCCGCGUGAGUGAUGAAGGUCUUCGGAUCUUAAAACUCUGUUAUUAGGGAAGAACAAAUGUGUAAGUAACUAUGCACGUCUUGACGGUACCUAAUCAGAAAGCCACGGCUAACUCCGUG
rnacentral:rRNA from 1 species